AGCAGCCGCGGUAAUUCCAGCUCCAAUAGCGUAUAUUAAAGUUGUUGCAGUUAAAAAGCUCGUAGUUGAAUUUCGGGAUCGAAGGAUCGGUCAUGCCUUGGUAUGUACUGGUUUUAUUGGUUCUCACCUUCUAAAGAACCAUAAUGUCAUUCAUUUGAUGUUAUGGGGAAUUAGGACUGUUACCUUGAAAAAUUAGAGUGUUUAAAGCAGGCUUACGCUUGAAUACAUUAGCAUGGAAUAAUGAAAUAGGACAUCAGAUUCUAUUUUGUUGGUUUCUAGGAUCGAUGUAAUGAUUAAUAGGGAUAGUUGGGGGCAUUAGUAUUCAAUUGUCAGAGGUGAAAUUCUUGGAUUUAUUGAAGACUAACUACUGCGAAAGCAUUUGCCAAGGAUGUUUUCAUUAAUCAAGAACGAAAGUUAGGGGAUCGAAGACGAUCAGAUACCGUCGUAGUCUUAACCAUAAACUAUGCCGACUAGGGAUCGGAUGAUGUUAAUUUAUAAUGACUCAUUACGG
rnacentral:misc_RNA from 1 species